CGGCGACGCCGAGCGGAACCCGAAAAGCCGUCUCAGUUCGGAUUGGAGUCUGCAACCCGACUCCAUGAAGCUGGAUUCGCUAGUAAUCGCGCAUCAGCCACGGCGCGGUGAAUACGUUCCCGGGCCUUGUACACACCGCCCGUCAAGCCAUGGGAGCCGGGAGUGCCUGAAGUACGUGACCGCAAGGAGCGUCCUAGGGUAAGACCGGUGACUGGGGCUAAGUCGUAACAAGGUAAC
rnacentral:rRNA from 1 species